CCUGUCCCUGGAAGCAUUGCAGGUGUGGCUGUUAUGUCACAUGUGCGUUAAUGGGUGGCAGAGAGAAGGGAGGCUAUGUCUAAGCUCAGUGCUCUCUCUCCUAUGAACAUCUAAAUAUUAGUAGUCUAACAUU